rnacentral:rRNA from 1 species
AGGGUUUGAUUCUGGCUCAGGACGAACGCUGGCGGCGUGCUUAACACAUGCAAGUCGAACGAGAAUCUACGGAUCGAGGAUUCGUCCAAGUGAAGUAGAGGACAGUGGCGGACGGGUGAGUAACGCGUGAGGAACCUGCCUUUCAGAGGGGGACAACAGUUGGAAACGACUGCUAAUACCGCAUGACACAUUGGAGUCGCAUGGCUCUGAUGUCAAAGAUUUAUCGCUGAAAGAUGGCCUCGCGUCUGAUUAGCUAGUUGGUGAGGUAACGGCCCACCAAGGCGACGAUCAGUAGCCGGACUGAGAGGUUGACCGGCCACAUUGGGACUGAGAUACGGCCCAG